ACGCGAAAACUUUACAAUGCUGGCAACAGCGAUAAGGGAACCUCGAGUGCCAGGUUACAAAUCUGGCUGUCGAGAUGCCUAAAAAGCAUUUCAUAGCAAGGGCCGGGCAAGACCGGUGCCAGCCGCCGCGGUAACACCGGCGGCUCGAGUGGUAACCGUUAUUAUUGGGUCUAAAGGGUCUGUAGCCGGCCGGAUAAGUCUCUUGAGAAAUCUGGCAGCUUAACUGUCAGGCUUUCAGGAGAUACUGUCUGGCUCGAGGCCGGGAGAGGUGAGAGGUACUUCAGGGGUAGGGGUGAAAUCUUGUAAUCCUCGAAGGACCACCAGUGGCGAAGGCGGCUCACCAGAACGGACCUGACGGCAAGGGACGAAAGCUAGGGGCACGAACCG
rnacentral:rRNA from 1 species